rnacentral:rRNA from 1 species
ACCCAACUGAAAGGGUGAUCGGCCACACUGGGACUGAAACACGGCCCAAACUCCUACGGGAGGGAGCAGUAGGGAAUCUUCCGCAAUGGACGAAAGUCUGACGGAACAACGCCCCGUGAGUGAUGAAGGUUUUCGGAUCGUAAAACUCUGUUGUUAGGGAAGAACAAGUACCGUUCGAAUAGGGCGGCACCUUGACGGUACCUAACCAGAAAGCCACGGCUAACUACGUGCCAGCAGCCGCGGUAAUACGUAGGUGGCAAGCGUUGUCCGGAAUUAUUGGGCGUAAAGCGCGCGCAGGCGGUUUCUUAAGUCUGAUGUGAAAGCCCCCGGCUCAACCGGGGAGGGUCAUUGGAAACUGGGGAACUUGAGUGCAGAAGAGGAGAGUGGAAUUCCACGUGUAGCGGUGAAAUGCGUAGAGAUGUGGAGGAACACCAGUGGCGAAGGCGACUCUCUGGUCUGUAACUGACGCUGAGGCGCGAAAGCGUGGGGAGCGAACAGGAUUAGAUACCCUGGUAGUCCACGCCGUAAACGAUGAGUGCUAAGUGUUAGAGGGUUUCCGCCCUUUAGUGCUGCAGCAAACGCAU